UCAAAAUAUAAAGUGUUUGCCAGAGCAGAUGUUUUGCUGCUGGUAGGGCUGUGCUGUGCACACCAGCAGUGGGCAGUCAAAGUCCACUCUAGUGUCCACCCAGUGUCCAACCUGCACCGAAGGUGGGAGGCUGGAGACGUGUCCCCAGCAGCCAGCAGAAAGAAGUAGUUUUGCCUUGUGAUAGAGACUAGAUUUUCCCUUGAUCUUAGUGCUGCCCUGGAAACUAGCACCUGAGUAGAGUCUGCAGGCCAGAGAGAAGCUGGGAAGAAGGUUCAAUGCAAGGAAGAAGGCAAGGCCCGCACAGUCAGAAGAUGUGGAUGUGAGGGAGCGUACUUUCCGGAGCACUAAGGGCCUGGCAUUGCGUGCAGCUUACCCUGUGAGGUACCAGAAAGGAUGCCAUGGAAAUCAGAGGCCAGCCCACAUCUCUGCUCAUGGAUGAGCCAUGGACUGUGGGUCCUUUGAAGCAGUGUGCCCUCCUGAGAAGGUGACUGGAAGUCUGAUGAGCUGCAGAGGGGUCACCAGACAAGUCUUCUGUUUUGUCGCCUGUCUUCUGGAGGUCUGUGAUCUGGACUCUCUCCAGUUGGUCUACAGCCUUCUUGAAGAGCAAUACCCAUCGUCCAACCUCUUAGUGAAAGUCUGAAUAAGGCAGAGCAUAUUGAUUAUCCCACAUAUACAGUAUAAGAGAUUUGUAACAGAAACAUUAAGGUUGAAGUGAAGUCUGAAUUGGAAUGUGUUUGUAAACAAUGGGGGGAAAACAACAGCAUGAGGAUUAAAAGAAUGACCUGUGUUGAUAAUGUAGAGCACUGCUCCCAGAACCGGGUUCCUAGGAUGCCAUUCUUGGUUGUAAAACUGAAGAAUGUGUUUAUAGCAUGACCAAAAGGCCUGC